UCCCAUGUGGCCUAAUGGUUAGAGAGUCAGACUGGUGAACCUGAAGGUUGUGGGUUCGAGUCUCAGGUCCGGCA